rnacentral:rRNA from 1 species
CAGGUGAGACGCCCGGUCCCAUUCCGAACCCGGAAGCUAAGGCCUGGCACGGCGAUGGUACUGCACCCGACAGGGUGUGGGAGAGUAGCA